GCCUAGCCCCGAUUGAAACGGCAUCCUUUUUUGUGCUUAAGCUUAUAUUUCGAUUAAAGCUUUAAUUAAAUUGUAUGCUACUCACAUAAUAAGAUACUGAAACAAGUUCAGUACAAAAAAGAUAUAGUGGAAAGCGGGAAACAGC
rnacentral:sRNA from 1 species